UAAUAAGCCCGUCCGUGACGACUCCGUCGUUAACAUGAUGAAAACAGAAGUCUACAGUGGGGUGGAACUCGGACUCGUUUUCACAGAUGUUUACACUUCCAGAUGGCGCUCGUGUAUAGACUCAAUAGACCAUAAAACGAUUAUCCUAAAUACACAGAAACCGAAACUAAAGAUUUCCGGGUAUUUAAAGUUGCUUCACUUUUCUUAAAUAAUUUCAUUAAAAGGUUCAAACACGCUGUCAUGAGCACACACUUCAACUAUCUGUACUGUCCGGAAUAGUGG